CAGCGCGAGAGCAAAGGGCGGUGACCCAACGGCCUUCGCUCUCAUGGCGUCCUUCUUGGUGUUACCUAAAAAUAAAGCCAAGGGUGAUCAGAAGGUAAUCACCUCCUGGUCAUGCUCCCACUGGUCACCAGUGUCCGCGGGGCGACCCCACAUUGUGACCAGAGCAGGCCUGUGGCUGUGCUCAAGGCGGAAGCGUUCAUAGCUUUCCUAGUGGGGGCCCUGCGGGAUGCCCAGGCCGCGCUCCUUUCCCUUGCUCACCUGGCCCUGAAGUGAGGGGGGAGGUGUAACAAUGCAGUGGGAACCUCAAAGUGUGUCUCGGCCGUGCCUUUCACAUUCCAAACAAUGCAAAAGCUUGAAGAAAACCUCAGCAGUUGAAACCGUGAUGCAGUUCAGCAAAGAAGUAGCUCCUGUCCUCGUAAAACAGUGAAGUUCUCACGGACGACCUCAUUGAGAUUUAAACCUCAGACACAGGGAGCUGACCUAUUCACCUUAGAAUCCUCUGGGGCACCCAUUACAGUGUCUGUACCAAGGAGGCAACAAAGAACGGCGGAACAGACUGGAGCAGAAGGACCACCCAGCAGAGCCAAGCCAAAUCACUGACCCUCAGAGGCCUGAUGUGAAUGCUUAUGGCUUCAGUCCAUUGGAUUCUGCAGUAAUCUGCCGAUCUACAGUAUUACCACAGUAAAUAACCGAUAGACCUGAAAACGAAUGCAUGCCUUGUGCCAAAAUUGCAGGAAACCUCACCAGGAGAAACAAUUUUAUAUGAGGGAAUGUACUCUCUCCUUUGCAUUUUCCCUCAAAUCUAUAUUUUUAGCCCCUCACUUGUCUCUACAGAGCCUCAGUUGCUUAAUCUAAUUGCUGACUGAACAUCUCCAGGAAACUGUGUGUACGUGUUUGUAUUCAUAGUAUAUUUAUUUAUUAUCUGUUUACUUCCAUGGGAUAUAGUCUCCAUAAGAGAGUAGUCAUCAUUGUAUUUGUUGAUGCUUAAUAAAUAAUCAUUGAAUGGGCCGGGUGUGGUGGCUCAUGCCUGUAAUCCCAGCACUUUUGGAGGCCGAGGUGGGCAGAUCACAAGGUCAGGAGAUUGAGACCAUCCUGGCUAACAUGGUGAAACCCUGUCUCUACUAAAAAUACAAAAAAUUAGCUCGGUGUGGUGGUGGGUGCCUGUAGUCCCAGCUACUCAGGAGGCUGAGGCAGGGGAAUGGCUUGAACCCAGGAGGCGGAGCUUGCAG
rnacentral:lncRNA from 1 species